rnacentral:rRNA from 1 species
AUUGAACGCUGGCGGCAGGCCUAACACAUGCAAGUCGAGCGGGGUUUUCGGACCUAGCGGCGGACGGGAGAGUAAUGCGUAGGAAGCUACCCGAUAGAGGGGGAUACCAGUUGGAAACGACUGUUAAUACCGCAUAAUGUCUACGGACCAAAGUGUGGGACCUUCGGGCCACAUGCUAUCGGAUGCGCCUACGUGGGAUUAGCUAGUUGGUGAGGUAAUGGCUCACCAAGGCGACGAUCCCUAGCUGUGUUGAGAGGAUGAUCAGCCACACUGAAACUUAGUCGAGGUCCCGACGCUUCCGGGAGGCAGCGGUGGGGAAUAUUGGACCAUGGGCGCAAGCCUGAUCCAGCCAUGCCGCGUGUGUGAAGAAGGCCUUCGGGUUGUAAAGCACUUUCAGUAGGGAGGAAGGGUUAAGUGGUAAUAGUACUUAACUUUGACGUUACCUACAGGAGAAGCACCGGCUAACUCUGUGCCAGCAGCCGCCGUAAAAC